AACAUCAAUUUUAUCGCUGAAUUCAGUACUAUAUUUUAAUUAGAACCAAUUCUUAUGGUAUCUAAGGUAAAUACUAAUUUUCAAUGUGUUUGUCAUUAUUAAGUAUUGAUAAAGCGUAGAUUAAAUAGAACGUUGCUGGGCGCCUUACAUUGAUCAUUUUAAGAUUUGAGAUGUCGGGAAUCAGCUGUAUCUACAUUU
rnacentral:snoRNA from 1 species